CCUACGUGUGGCUGCAGUGGGGAAUAUUGGACAAUGGGCGAAAGCCUGAUCCAGCCAUGCCGCGUGUGUGAAGAAGGCCUUCGGGUUGUAAAGCACUUUCAGUGGGGAAGAAAGCCUUGGGGCUAAUACCCUCGAGGAAGGACAUCACCCACAGAAGAAGCACCGGCUAACUCCGUGCCAGCAGCCGCGGUAAUACGGAGGGUGCGAGCGUUAAUCGGAAUUACUGGGCGUAAAGCGCGCGUAGGCGGUCUGAUAAGCCGGUUGUGAAAGCCCCGGGCUCAACCUGGGAACGGCAUCCGGAACUGUCAGGCUAGAGUGCAGGAGAGGAAGGUAGAAUUCCCGGUGUAGCGGUGAAAUGCGUAGAGAUCGGGAGGAACACCAGUGGCGAAGGCGGCCUUCUGGACUGACACUGACGCUGAGGUGCGAAAGCGUGGGUAGCAAACAGGAUUAGAUACCCCAGUAGUC
rnacentral:rRNA from 1 species